CCCUAUCUGCCGUGGGCGCUGGAGAAUUGAGGGGGGGCUGCUCCUAGUACGAGAGGACCGGAGUGGACGCAUCACUGGUGUUCGGGUUGUCAUGCCAAUGGCACUGCCCGGUAGCUAAAUGCGGAAGAGAUAAGUGCUGAAAGCAUCUAAGCACGAAACUUGCCCCGAGAUGAGUUCUCCCUGAGACUUUAAGUCUCCUGAAGGAACGUUAAAGACGAUGACGUUGAUAGGCCGGGUGUGUAAGCGCAGCGAUGCGUUGAGCUAACCGGUACUAAUGAACCGUGAGGCUUAACCUUACAACGCCGAAG
rnacentral:rRNA from 1 species